GUCUACAGCCAUGCCACCCUGAACAAGCCUGAUCCCGUCUGAUCUCAGAAGCUAAGCAGGGUCGGGCUUGGUUAUUAGUACUUGGAUAGGGGACCACCUAGGAAGACCAGGUGUUGCAGGCA
rnacentral:rRNA from 1 species